CUUUGUUGCUCUGUUUCGUGA
rnacentral:siRNA from 1 species